rnacentral:rRNA from 1 species
CCUACGGGAGGCAGCAGUGGGGAAUCUUGGACAAUGGGCGCAAGCCUGAUCCAGCAAUGCCGCGUGAGUGAAGAAGGCCUUCGGGUUGUAAAGCUCUUUCGGCCGGAACGAAAUCGCGUACGUGAAUAACGUGCGUGGAUGACGGUACUGGAAGAAGAAGCACCGGCUAACUACGUGCCAGCAGCCGCGGUAAUACGUAGGGUGCGAGCGUUAAUCGGAAUUACUGGGCGUAAAGCGUGCGCAGGCGGUUCCGCAAGUCAGAUGUGAAAUCCCCGGGCUUAACCUGGGAACUGCGUUUGAAACUACGGAGCUAGAGUACGGCAGAGGGGGGUGGAAUUCCACGUGUAGCAGUGAAAUGCGUAGAUAUGUGGAGGAACACCGAUGGCGAAGGCAGCCCCCUGGGCCGAUACUGACGCUCAGGCACGAAAGCGUGGGGAGCAAACAGGAUUAGAUACCCUGGUAGUCCACGCCCUAAACUAUGUCAACUAGUUGUCGGGGAAGCAAUUCCUUGGUAACGAAGCUAACGCGUGAAGUUGACCGCCUGGGGAGUACGGUCGCAAGAUUAAAACUUAAAGGAAUUGACGG